ncrna:unclassified sequences Rhodo-rpoB RNA
GGCCCGGGAGCGCGCCUGUGGGAUGGCGCGCGGGAAUAGGGCCCACACCCGUUUCGCAAGCGGCCGGCGGCUGAGGCCCGACAGCCCGCCCG